UUAAGUUCAGCGGGUAGCCCUACCUGAUCCGAGGUCAACCUGAGAAGAUGGGGUUGCUGGCAGGCAACCGCCUGGGUCUCCAGAAGCGAGAUGUGUUACUACGCUUGAAGCCGAAUGGCACCGCCACUGAUUUUACGGCCUGCCUGUAGCAGGUAAGGCCUAAUACCAAGCAGAGCUUGAGGGUUGUAAUGACGCUCGAA
rnacentral:misc_RNA from 1 species